rfam:Psychrobacter sp. PRwf-1, complete genome.
AAACUGAAGAGUUUGAUCAUGGCUCAGAUUGAACGCUGGCGGCAGGCUUAACACAUGCAAGUCGAGCGGUAACAGGAGAAGCUUGCUUCUUGCUGACGAGCGGCGGACGGGUGAGUAAUACUUAGGAAUCUGCCCAGUAGUGGGGGAUAGCUCGGGGAAACUCGAAUUAAUACCGCAUACACCCUACGGGGAAAAGGGGGCGCUUGCGCUCUCGCUAUUGGAUGAGCCUAAGUCGGAUUAGCUAGUUGGUGGGGUAAAGGCCUACCAAGGCGACGAUCUGUAGCUGGUCUGAGAGGAUGAUCAGCCACACCGGGACUGAGACACGGCCCGGACUCCUACGGGAGGCAGCAGUGGGGAAUAUUGGACAAUGGGGGGAACCCUGAUCCAGCCAUGCCGCGUGUGUGAAGAAGGCCUUUUGGUUGUAAAGCACUUUAAGCAGUGAAGAAGACUCUAUGGUUAAUACCCAUAGACGAUGACAUUAGCUGCAGAAUAAGCACCGGCUAACUCUGUGCCAGCAGCCGCGGUAAUACAGAGGGUGCAAGCGUUAAUCGGAAUUACUGGGCGUAAAGCGAGCGUAGGUGGCUUAAUAAGUCAGAUGUGAAAUCCCCGGGCUUAACCUGGGAACUGCAUCUGAUACUGUUAGGCUAGAGUAGGUGAGAGGGAGGUAGAAUUUCAGGUGUAGCGGUGAAAUGCGUAGAGAUCUGAAGGAAUACCGAUGGCGAAGGCAGCCUCCUGGCAUCAUACUGACACUGAGGUUCGAAAGCGUGGGUAGCAAACAGGAUUAGAUACCCUGGUAGUCCACGCCGUAAACGAUGUCUACUAGUCGUUGGGGAACUUGAUUCCUUAGUGACGCAGCUAACGCAAUAAGUAGACCGCCUGGGGAGUACGGCCGCAAGGUUAAAACUCAAAUGAAUUGACGGGGGCCCGCACAAGCGGUGGAGCAUGUGGUUUAAUUCGAUGCAACGCGAAGAACCUUACCUGGUCUUGACAUAUCUAGAAUCCUGCAGAGAUGCGGGAGUGCCUUCGGGAAUUAGAAUACAGGUGCUGCAUGGCUGUCGUCAGCUCGUGUCGUGAGAUGUUGGGUUAAGUCCCGCAACGAGCGCAACCCUUUUCCUUAGUUACCAGCGGUUUGGCCGGGGACUCUAAGGAUACUGCCAGUGACAAACUGGAGGAAGGCGGGGACGACGUCAAGUCAUCAUGGCCCUUACGACCAGGGCUACACACGUGCUACAAUGGUAGGUACAGAGGGCUGCUACACAGCGAUGUGAUGCGAAUCUCAAAAAGCCUAUCGUAGUCCAGAUUGGAGUCUGCAACUCGACUCCAUGAAGUCGGAAUCGCUAGUAAUCGCGGAUCAGAAUGCCGCGGUGAAUACGUUCCCGGGCCUUGUACACACCGCCCGUCACACCAUGGGAGUUGAUUGCACCAGAAGUGGGUAGCCUAACUUUUAGAGGGCGCUCACCACGGUGUGGUCGAUGACUGGGGUGAAGUCGUAACAAGGUAGCCGUAGGGGAACCUGCGGCUGGAUCACCUCCUUA